GACAGAGGCCCCAAGCGUUAGGCGGAAUCACUGGGCUUAAAGCGUGUGUAGGCGGAUCGUUAAGUGUCUUGUGAAAUCCCACGGCUUAACCGUGGAACUGCUCGGUAUACUGCGAGUCUUGAGCCACUUAGGGGCUACCGGAACAAAUGGUGGAGCGGUGAAAUGCGUAGAUAUCAUUUGGAACGCCAAUGGUGAAAACAGGUAGCUGGGAGUGUGCUGACGCUGAGACACGAAAGCCAGGGGAGCAAACGGG
rnacentral:rRNA from 1 species